rnacentral:rRNA from 1 species
UACGUAGGGGGCAAGCGUUGUCCGGAAUCAUUGGGCGUAAAGAGCGUGUAGGCGGCCAGAAAAGUCCGCUGUGAAAACUCGAGGCUCAACUUCGAGCUGUCGGUGGAAACUUUCUGGCUAGAGUCCGGAAGAGGAGAAUGGAAUUCCUGGUGUAGCGGUGAAAUGCGCAGAUAUCAGGAAGAACACCCGUGGCGAAGGCGGUUCUCUGGACGGUACUGACGCUGAGGAGCGAAAGCGUGGGGAGCGAACAGG